AAAUGAAGGUUUCAGUAACGCUGUUGCAUCAGGUCCAUCUUUACCUCUGGCCUGCAGUGAUGCCGCUUCUUAUUCGCACAAAUCCUCCUCCUGAGACGCGUCUGUCACCCUGAGCCUUGGGUUGUUUGAGCUGCAUGAACUGCACGUGCACAUUUACUUUCAUGGCAACGGCAACUCAAUGCUGGCAGAGCGUGGAAAAGAUGAGCUGGGAAACAACAUCAAACCCCAAAGAGGCUACAGACGAACAAACAAAGGCUAAAGCAGGAUCUCCUUGGUGAAGGUGAAUAAACCUAUUCCUGUACAGGAAGGUGGCGUUUCACACUGCAGUCUCAUACAUGAAGGUUGU